rnacentral:rRNA from 1 species
GUGAAGAGUUUGAUCCUAGCUCAGAAUGAACGCUUUUGUUUAACAUAACGCAUGCAAGUUAAACAUAAAAAAAAUAAAUGUAGCGUACGGGUGAGUAAAAUACAGAAAUUUUAUUUUGGGUUUUAAUUAAAUAUUAUAUAUUGAUAAAGAUUGUUUCGCCCAAUAAAAAGUUUGUACAAGAUUAAGUUGUUGGUAAGUUAAAAGCUUUAGCCAAGCUAAAGAUCUUUAGUUGAUCUGAGAGGAUGAUCAACCACAUUGAAACUGGAACAAGGUUCAAACUUAUUUUAAGGCAGCAGCGGGGAAUUUUGGGCAAUGAACGUAAGUUUGACCCAGUUAAAACAAAUGUGUGAUGAAUAUAAAAAUAUUGUAAAACACUUUUAUAAAGUAUGAUAAAGACUUCUUUAUGAAUAAGUCUCGGCUAACUACGUGCCAGCAGCAGCGGUAAGACGUAGGAGACUAGCGUUAUUCAAAAUAAUUGGGCGUAAAAUACAUGUAGACUGUAAAUUUAGUGUUUUAUUAAUAAAUCUAAAAUUUUAUGUUAAGAUUUAAUCACAAACUAAUUUACUAUUGAGUGUUACAGAAGAUUAUAAAAUUUUAAGUGUAAAAGUAAAGUUUGACCAUAUUUAAAGGAAUACUAAAAGCGAAAGCAAUAAUCUAUGUUACAACUGACGUUGAUAUGUGAAAGCGUAGGGAGCAAACAGGAUUAGGUACCCUGGUAGUCUACGCUGUCAACGAUGAAAGCUCGUUUUAAAUUUUAUCUUGAAACUUAGUUAACACUUUAAGCUUUCUGCCUGGGUAGUACGAUCGCAAGAUUAAAACUCAAAGGAAUUGACGGGAAUUCAUACAAACGGUGGAGCAUGUGGCUUUUAAUGCGAAAUAACGCGCAAAACCUUACCAAACUUUGUAUUAUUAGUUAAUAAAUUCAGGAUUGCAUGGCUGUCGUCAGUCCGUGUUGUGAAAUGUUUGGUUAAUUCCAAUGAACGGACGCAACUUUUAUGUUUAAUAAUUAAAUAUUUUAAACAAACUAUUAGGGAAUUACCUAUAAGGAAGUAAAAAAUGACGCCAAGUCUUCAUGGUCUUUAUAGUUUGGGCUGCUUUCAUGUGCUACAAUAGCAUAAACAAUGAGUAAUAACAAUGUAAAUUGAAAUAAUUCUAAAAAAAUUAUGUUUUAGUUCGGAUUAAAUUUUGCAAUUCAAAUUUAUAAAGCUGGAAUCGUUAGUAAUCGUAAAUAAGAAACGUUACGGUGAAUUUGUAGAUGAAUUUUGUACACACCGCCCGUCACGCUAUGGAA